AGUGAGAAAUGAUUCCUGCAGGCUGAACAAAAACCUGCAGAUGAACAGAUGUUAGUGUUUGUGACAGAAAGAGAGCAGGAAACCACAGCCAGGUUCACAUGUUUCUCCUCCAUCUCACACAGACUCACAAACACACUGAACUGAGGAUUCAAGCAUUAAAUAAAAACACAAGCAGAUGAAAUGAAAGAAUGAAGCAGUUUAGACAGUAAACAUAUGACACCUUCAUCCAAAUGUUCAGAUCAUUCAAAUGUUUACUCCAAUCAUCUUCAUGAUGUAGCAGUGGUCUGUGCAGCUGCACUCAAUCUCCCAAUCACUGACAACCUGGGGCAGGAUAUAAAAAUGGUUUGGCUCACCCUAUGGGAGUGUAAUGCACUGUGCCCAGCCACACCUACUUCCUGUUUGUCGGCUCUCUGCUGGUUUGGCAAGCAAAGCCCUCCAGCACAUGGAGAGGCUUGUCUGAGGUGUGAGCAUGUAGUGCAGAUCAUUUUCCCUCCAGCCAUUCAGGUGACAUGAGCACUUUAGGUAUUUAGACCUAUGCCUGGUGAUUUUUAAGUCUUAACUGCACUUUUAUCUGUUUCAGGUGCAGAGAGGGCACCACUGCUGUGUUUUAUUUACUGUUUUAUUUUAUUUUUAAGCUGUUGUCACAGCUGGUCUUAGUUUAUUUCUGCUCUUGUGCUGCGCGGCCAAACUGAAGCCCUGCCUGGGCACCGCCUCCCUUCCGCGGCAUCAGGCCUUCGGCGCGGCUUCAGGCCUUCGGCGUGCCCUCCCCCUCAGCGGCUUCAGGCCUUCGGCGUGCCCUCCCCCUCAGCGGCUUCAGGCCUUCGGCGUGCCCUCCCCCUCAGCGGCUUUAGGCUUCCAGAGCGGCUUCAGGCUUCUGGCGCGCCCUCCCCUCAGCGGCUUCAGGCCUUCGGCGCGCCCCUGGACUUUUGGACGGUUCCCUUUCCUUUAUUUAGAACUUGUACUACAUUUUAUUUAGGUGUGAGUGUGCAGGUGUGCGUGGUUACCCUACUUACCGGUUUUAUUUUUCUUUUCAGGGGAAGGGCUUGGCAGAGCGAGUUGGCUGACGGCGGUGGAGGCUUUUUGUGUGUUUCCGGGUGUGGGUCCAUUCCCCUUCACGCGUGUGUGUGCAUGUCACUGUGGGGUGAAGUCCAUUUUUGUUUUUUCCUCCCCUCGUACGCCCAGCACUCUGCCGGUAAGCCUUCCCCCAGUAGGGCUUUUAUUUUUUUAGCUUUGAUUGUUUUAAUUGGUUUUAAAUUUUUAAUAAAACUAUUUAUUGAACUGGAA